rnacentral:rRNA from 1 species
AAUAGAUACCCUGGUAGUCCAUGCCGUAAACGAUGUCUACUAGCCGUUGGGGCCUUUGAGGCUUUAGUGGCGCAGCUAACGCGAUAAGUAGACCGCCUGGGGAGUACGGUCGCAAGACUAAAACUCAAAUGAAUUGACGGGGGCCCGCACAAGCGGUGGAGCAUGUGGUUUAAUUCGAUGCAACGCGAAGAACCUUACCUGGCCUUGACAUACUAAGAACUUUCCAGAGAUGGAUUGGUGCCUUCGGGAACUUAGAUACAGGUGCUGCAUGGCUGUCGUCAGCUCGUGUCGUGAGAUGUUGGGUUAAGUCCCGCAACGAGCGCAAUCCUUUUCCUUACUUGCCAGCAUUUCGGAUGGGAACUUUAAGGAUACUGCCAGUGACAAACUGGAGGAAGGCGGGGACGACGUCAAGUCAUCAUGGCCCUUACGGCCAGGGCUACACACGUGCUACAAUGGUCGGUACAAAGGGCUGCUACUGCGCGAGCAGAUGCUAAUCUCAAAAAGCCGAUCGUAGUCCGGAUCG